UGGGGAAUAUUGCACAAUGGGCGCAAGCCUGAUGCAGCCAUGCCGCGUGUAUGAAGAAGGCCUUCGGGUUGUAAAGUACUUUCAGCGGGGAGGAAGGUGUUGUGGUUAAUAACCGCAGCAAUUGACGUUACCCGCAGAAGAAGCACCGGCUAACUCCGUGCCAGCAGCCGCGGUAAUACGGAGGGUGCAAGCGUUAAUCGGAAUUACUGGGCGUAAAGCGCACGCAGGCGGUAUGUCAAGUCGGAUGUGAAAUCCCCGGGCUCAACCUGGGAACUGCAUUCGAAACUGGCAGGCUAGAGUCUUGUAGAGGGGGGUAGAAUUCCAGGUGUAGCGGUGAAAUGCGUAGAGAUCUGGAGGAAUACCGGUGGCGAAGGCGGCCCCCUGGACAAAGACUGACGCUCAGGUGCGAAAGCGUGGGGAGCAAACA
rnacentral:rRNA from 1 species